rnacentral:tRNA from 1 species
GCCUGGGUGGCUCAGUCGGUUGAGCGUCCGACUUCGGCUCAGGUCACGAUCUCACGGUUCAUGGGUUCGAGCCCCACAUCAGGCU